rnacentral:rRNA from 1 species
CCUACGGGUGGCUGCAGUGGGGAAUAUUGGACAAUGGGGGGAACCCUGAUCCAGCGACGCCGCGUGAGUGAAGAAGUAUUUCGGUAUGUAAAGCUCUAUCAGCAGGGAAGAAAGAAAUGACGGUACCUGACUAAGAAGCCCCGGCUAACUACGUGCCAGCAGCCGCGGUAAUACGUAGGGGGCAAGCGUUAUCCGGAUUUACUGGGGGUAAAGGGAGCGCAGGCGGCGUGGCAAGUCAGAUGUGAAAACCCGGGGCCCAACCCCGGGAGUGCAUUUGAAACUGCCAGGCUGGAGUGCCGGAGAGGUAAGCGGAAUUCCUAGUGUAGCGGUGAAAUGCGUAGAUAUUAGGAGGAACACCAGUGGCGGAGGCGGCUUACUGGACGGUAACUGACGCUGAGGCUCGAAAGCGUGGGGAGCAAACAGGAUUAGAUACCCUAGUGUC